rnacentral:piRNA from 1 species
UGGGCUACACUGGCUACUUGAGUCUCAU